CGCCGGGUCAGUAUCCAAGACCCUCAGCCCAGCACCCCAACUCGCCGGGUCAGUAUCCAAGACCCUCAGCCCAGCACCCUGACUCGCCGGGUGAGUAUCCAAGACCCUCAGCCCAGCACCCCGACUCGCCGGGUCAGUAUCCAAGAGCUGCUGCCCAUCAUCCACAACCGUCGGGUCAGUAUCCAAGAUCCUCUAUCUAUCAACAGUCACCGAUUCAGUAUCGAGGACACGACGCCUGUCAUCGGCUCUCACCGGGCCAGCAUCCAAGACCCACUAUCCAUCACCUACAGCCGCCAGUUCCACCCCCGAGACGCUCCCCCAGUUUUCCAAAGUCGCCUCUUCAGCAGCCAAAACCCCCUGCUAACUACUCGCACCCCUCUGACCAACAUAAAAUCAGUGACCUACCACAGCCAACCAAGUGUCCAGGGUCCCAAGUUAAGUCUUCAAAGCUCCACGUCACCAGUCCGGGCCAGAGUCGACGUCCCCCUCUCAAUUACUCACAGUCCCGAGGCCAGUAUCAAAAGCGUCGAGUCAACUGUCUGGACCUCCCAGGAGACCAUCAGAGACUCUUUGAGCAGCUCCCAAAUCAGCCAGUCCACCCUGGAAAACAACGCUCAGAACUUACCAUCGGCCUCCUUCGAGAACAAUGCUGGCAGGUAUCUGGGCAAGUGUAGGCUCAGCCACUGUCAGCUGCCCAUGGGCUGGUGGCUGCUGCACGAGGCCAAGAGGAUCAGCCGCCAGCUGAACCUACUGCUGAGCCUGGCCAGCAUAGUCAUCAUCGGUCUCAUCUCUCUGGGCCAGCCCUGGAUCCACUUCCAGGUGCCCCUGGCACCCCUGGGGGACCCUGGCUUCCGGACCAUCCCCAUCGACACCGUCUUCGUCGUCCGCUGCUCGGAUAUGGCCUGCCUGCACGAGUAUGACCAGAAUGCUUGUAAGGCCUGCCCUAUACUCACUACUCCUGGGGCUCCUCUUUCCUCUUUGUUUCAGGGACACUCCCCGCCUUCCUGCCUCCCCAGGGUUGGUCCUCUCUGCCCUGGGUUGGUCCUCCUCCUCCCCAUGGCGGGUCCUCCCUUUUCCCAGGAGGGUCCUCACUGCCUCAGAAUCAUCCUCACUGUCCCUUGCUCAUUCUCACCUACGUGAUACUCAUCCUCAUAGUUCUCACAACCUUAACAUCUUACACCCUACCCCUAAGGAAUCUGUCCACAUCGCAUCAAGUUGGUUCCUCAAUGCCCACCCCUCUCAUCACUGCCCAAAAACCUGUACUGACUGACCUGGAGGUGCAUACCUUAAUGCCGAAGGCAUCUAUCUGCCUCAGUCUCCCUUCUCUGGAGCCUAGUUUCAAUUUUCUUACAAUGCCGGCGGGGGGCGGGGGGCACAAAGAAUUCUCAAGGGAGACGGCUUAACAAUGCCCCUAGGCUCCCGGGAGACCUUCUCCCCGCCAGGCUUGGGGCCUGAGGGCCUAUCCCAGUGUUCCUGCUUCUCUUCCUCCCCUAGACUUGCUGGACUUUGCCUGGGCCUUCCUCCUGGUCGCCAGCAUUACCAACUUCAUCCUCUGCAUCAUUCUAAUAAACAUCAUCUUCUCCACCAGCUCCAACGUGCCCUUGCUGGACUUCUCCAAUGUCAUCAUCACAGCCCUCACAGGCACGGCGCUGAGACCCUCCCCUGAGGAGCCAAGUCAGGAGCACCCAAAGCCCGUCCUGAUACCCCAGCCCCUCCCCACCAUGCUCCAGUCCCACCCCCGUCCUCGCCCUUCACCCCCCCACCCCAAGCCUGUCUCCCUCCACAUCUCCACCCCAUCUUAGGACAGAUCAGUUUCCAACCCAACUUCUCCAGCCCCGACACCAGCCUCCACGUCACCUUCCGCCUCCACCACCAACACACCUCCAAUUCAUUCAUAUUCCCGUGCAUGAUGUCCGUUCUCGUCCCCACGCCCACUUCGACAUUACCUUCUUUCCAGCCCCCAAACAAUCCCUGUUACCAUCUCCGACCCCUUUACAAACCUUGACACCAAAGCUCCAUGCCUAACCCAUCCUCAAGACUCAUGCCAAAUUCAACCCACCCCUGUCGCCUAUGAGUCUCAACCUCCAACUCAAGCCCCAUCCAUCUCUGAUCCCGUCUUCUUCAUCCCCAACCUCAACUACCACCAGACCCUGAUCACCUAUGACUCUCACUCUCAGACUCAACUCAAUGCAUUCCCGCCCCCAUCUUCUCACCUGUCUCCAAUCCAUCUCCAUUCCCAACCCCAGCUCAACCUCAUCCCCCCAAACCUCAGAGUCCAUCCCACAAAUAUCCACUGUCCAAUACUCAACCCCAUGGUCAGUUUCAACUCCAUCCCAGAUCCUAUUUCACCAUCACCACCGCCACCACCAGCUCUGUGAUUUUGUUCAAGCUAGGUCAUGUUUCUGAGCCACAGUUUUCUCAUCUGUAGGAGGGGGGUGAAAUUCCCUACCACGUGGAGACACAGGGAGGACUGAAUUAGAAAAUGUCAGUACAUGAUGGCAGCUAUUUAGCUUUGCACACAGCCUUGCCAUGAUAGUCCUCUCUCUUUUCCAAAUAACUCAAAAUCGAUAUUCUGAUUAGAAUAGUUUAGUUUUCCAUUUGCGUGCCAAGUUCCGCUUUUUUUGAAAAGCGGUGGCGGGGGUGGAGAGGGGACUGGGGGGGGAGGGGCACUUUAAUUUGGAAAUGAAGAAUAUUGUGUUCCUGUCUCCUGUAAUAAUUGAUCACAACAGUCUGUUGCAUCAAAAGAACAUUUUUGGAGAGUGAUAGUAGGGGCAACAAGAGAGAACACCCAGCUUCCUGUUUUCUUGCUAGUAAAAGGUAUUUUAUCCAGUUUGUCCAGUAACUCUUCCUGAUUGUUUAAGGAACAAAGUGUAGAAAACAUCUCUGCUUUGUGUCAUCUAAAGUAGGACAUUUCUCUGUAAGAAAAUCACAUCUGGGACUUCCCCAGCUGUCCGGUGGUUAAGACUCCAUGCUUUCAGCACAGGAAGAACGGGUUCUGAUCCCUCAUUGGGGAACUGAGAUCCCGUGUGCCACUGAACGCAGCCAGAAAAAAACAUUUUUUUUACCCACUCCCCCUUUUAAUUAGAUGGAAAGCACUUAUCUCCUAUAUUAUUUUUCAAAACCAUAAAAAUUACCCUGUGCUCCACUACAGGAGGGGAGGAAAAAGAGUCUUUUCCUUUUCACAAAUUGUCUUUUUUUUGUUUUUUAAGAUUUAUUUAUUUUUGACCUUGGUGGGUCCUGGCUGCUGCACAUGGGCUUUCUCUGGCUGCAGUGAGUAGGCACUACUCUUCACUGAUUGCAAGGCUUCUCCUUGCGGUGGCUUCUUAGCACGGGCUCCAGGGCGAGCAGUCUUCAGUAGUCGAGGCACGUGGGCUUAGCUGCCCCACAGCAUGUGGGAUCUUCCUGGAGCAGCAUCGAACCCAUUUCCUCUGGAUUGGCAGGCGGAUUCUUAACCACUGGGCCACCAGGGGAAGUUCACCAAUUAUCUUUAAAUUCAUGUCAUUUCAAAAUAAAAUUAAAAUAUUCAGAAUGAUUAAGUUUCUUGUCCACUGCUUCAGAAGCCCAAAAUUCAACACCCAAUAGAGCAAUGAUAACCUCAGUUUUUGAGGACCCACUGUGUGCCAAUCUCAAUAACUCCUCAUGACGACCCAAGGAGAUGGGUCCUACGACUACUCCCAUUUUACAGAUGAGGGAAAUGAGGCUCAGAGAGAUGGGAGUGGCUGCCCUGAGGUGGGGGAUACAGAAGCAAGAGCUCCAGUCUGCUAGCUCCAAAGCCUGUGGUUUUAGACGUCACCAUCGCCCGGCUAAAGAGCCAAGCCUUGCCCUUACCCACGUCCUCCACCACGAUACUGUCAGGAGCCUGCUUUCCUGCCUGUGAGCAGAGGUUCAUGAAGGUGAAAGCGAGUGGGAAAAUAAGGAGCAAGACCCUGGCAGCCACGCAGCUCUGGGGAGGGGUCCUGACACACGGGACGCCUGGCCUCCUAACACCUGUACUCAUGCAGGGACCAGCAUGAUCCUGGGUAUCCUGUUCUACCUGAUGCAGGCCCAGGAAUACCUGCAGGAAGGCAUGACCUACAAACUGGGGUGCAGCUUCUACCUGGCAUGGACCGGAGUCUUCUUCUUUGUGAUGAUUGGUCGGGGCCAGGGCAGGGUUGGGGUUUGGGGCUUGGGCAUGGAUUCCAGGAUGCAGAUGGGGACCGGGGUGGGAUAGAUUUGGGAUGGGGGGGAGCUUGUGGACAAGGAGGACUGGACUGAGGAGGGAGAUGGGGUUGGGGAUGGGCAUAGGGCUGGAUGUAGGGGCAGGGUUGGGGUUUGGAUUUGGGAAUGGGUUGGGGACCGCAUAGGGGUAUGGGGCCAAGUUUGGGUUUAGACGUGAGUCUGGGGACGUGACAGGGAGCAUAGCUGGGCUUGGAGAAGCGACUGGCAUCAGGCUUGGGCUGGUGAACUCUGCGCCUCACCCUCUCUGCUCUCUUCCUUCCCCUAGGUUUCUUUUCCUAUUUGAACUACAUAAAUUUCUGGUCCCUCCUGGCGAACCAGGCCAUCUGGACUUAAGAAGUGGGAAUGUCCCCACCCUCGAGUCUGCUCUGGCGGCUCCCUGUCGAGCAACCUGCCAGCCCUUCUCUCUAGCCCCCGACCCCCCACCAAGAGUCUUGUCCUUUUUUCAGUCCCCUCUGAAAUCCCUCCAACUCAGAUUAAUGAUGUGUAUUUUCAAAUAAUCUGUACUUCUCACCCAGAACGUUUGUUUAGUUCAGUACCUUGUAAGCGGUCCCUGGAAAUGCCACGCCUCCUCGGGGCCCUCUUGGGGAGAGGGAUGGGUUGGGGAGGGACUUGGGGGAAAGAGACGGGAGAGGUUCCUGGCAUACAGAUGGUGCUCAAGCAAUGUCUGUUGAACAGCUGACUCUCCCCAAGCUCUCUGGGCUUCAUUCUUCACACUUGUGACCCCCUAACAAUUUGCUCUUCCUGGCACCCACAUUUCACCUCUUGCCCUUACCCCUUACAGCUCCUGCCAUCACCCCUUACUUCUCUCCACACAAGUCUAUUCCUUUAACUUAAAAAAAAUUUUUUACAGUAUCCCACUCCUUCCCUAUUUAUUUAUUUUAAAGGCUGUUACAUGUAGCCAGUUUUUGCAGAUGGUUUGGGGGAUAAAGACAGUACAGUUGUCCCUCGGUAUCGGCAGGGAAUUGGUUCCAAGACUCCCUUGGAUACCAAACUCUGGGGAUUCUCAAGUCCCUUAUAUAAAAUUGCAGAGUGGAUUUCCCUGGUGGCCCCAUGGUCAAGAAUCUGCCUGCCAAUGCAGGGAACAUGGGUUCAGUCCCAGGUCCAGGAAGUUUCCACGUGCCAUAGGGCAACCAAGCCCAUGUACCACAAUUACUGAGCCCACACUCCAGAGCCCAUGCUCCACAACAAGAAAAGCCACCACAAUGAGAAGCCCCCGUACCACAGCUAGAGAGUAGCCCCUGCUCACUGCAUCUAGAGAAAGUCCAUGUGCAGCAAUGAAGACCCAGCACAGCAAUAAAUUGAUUUUAAAAUUGUAGGGUAUUUGCAUAUAAACUAUGCACAUCCUCUUGUACACUUUAAAUCAUCUGUAGGUUUACCUAUAAUAUGUAAUGUAACAGAAACGCUAUGUAAACAGUUGCUGAGGCACACACCAAAUUCAAGUUUUGUUUUUUGGAACUUUCUGGAACUAUUUUUUUCCCCCAAUUUUUCCACCUGAGAUUGGUUUAAAUGUGAAAUCUGUGGACACAGAAAACCAACUGUACCUUAAUCUAGUUAGAGUUUAGUCUACAGUACGUGCUCAUUAAGUGUUGUUACAAUAAUUGUUCCUCUUGUCGCCCACAAAAGGCUUUCCGGUGUAUUCAUUUUUAACAAAAAGUGAGCUCAACUAUGUGCAAGACACAGGGUCUAUAGCCAACUGGACACAGAUCCUAGUCUUUAAGGAAUUGACAACUUUGCAGGGAGGAAAACCUCCCCUACCCUGCAAAACCCAAAAAGUGCCCACAAGUAGAUAUGUUAGGAGAGAAGAGCUAUGAAGGGAAAGAACAGAGGGUCAG
rnacentral:lncRNA from 1 species